ensembl:lncRNA
GAUGGCUCGUAUGUGUAGCCAGGAUCUAAGACCAUUCGCUACUGUUGAGCGACGAGGGUUCAUUGAAGUUGCGAAAGAGCUCAUUAAUAUCGGGGCUAAAUAUGGAAGCAGCAUUGAGAUUGAAGAUGUGCUACCGAGUGCACGCACUGUGUCUCGACAUGUUGAAGACGAAUACGAGAGAGUAAAGAAACAGCUUAUGGAGGAGCUACAACAGGUAGGCCUGGCUACACUGCUUUUUUUAUGUUUAAUGUUGGUCUCUAUUUUUUUAAGCCAUUUUUGGAGCCUACUUUUAUGGGAUUGUAAACUAAAAGCAUAUGGUCAAAUGGUUAUCUUUUUUUUUAAAAAAAAAAAAACUGCCUCAAAAAAAAAAAAAAUUUUUUUUUGAAAAAUAUAAAAAUUUUUUUUUUUUUUGAUAUUUUUUUUUUUUUUUUUUUUUUUUUUUUUUUUUUUAACCUAACAUAUAGGAGUUUGGCAUCUUGAGCAAGGAUAUUGUUGUAGUGACCGACAAUGGUUCAAAUGUGGUCGCAGCUUUCAAAGAUUACACCAGACUGUCCUGUGCAGGCCAUAACAUUAACCUGAUUCUUAAAUACACAUUUGACCAUUUGGAUGUGGAGAACCCACAGCACAGCCCAGUCAUCAACCUGUUUCAGGAUGUGAAGACCCUGGUUACACACUUCAAACAAGCAGGAUUACACUUAAGCAAGCAGUAGAAACGAGGUGGAAUACCAGACUUGCAAUGCUGCAAUCAGUAAGGGAUGCUCUGCUGUCUGGUAAGCUGCAUGAGGUCCUGCUUCGCCGAAAUGAACUCCGGUAUGUCAACAACAUAGACCUAGAACUUCUUGAAGACAUUAUCCGCCUUCUGGAACCUUUUGAUGAGGCUACAAGGCACCUCUCCACUGAUCAGACACCUAGUCUUCACCUUGUCCUCCCAACCAAAGGCAACCCUGCUGAGGGGUUUGUUGCUUCAGGAUGGAGACAGUGCUAUUGUGAAAGAGGUGAUCUACCAUUCCUAGUGACCACAGUCACAGAGGUGCACAGUUUCUUCUCAAGCUGUGUGCAGGAGGAGGAGAGGGAGGACUGUGGUAACACUAACGAGUCAUUGACCCGUGAAUUGGUGCUGAAAUACAUGAAUGAGCCUACAAAGAUGACCGUCCGCGGCCAGUCCCUUCUCAACUUCUGGCAGGAGAUGUCAGGUGGGCUGGUGCCAGUUGCCAGGAAGCUGCUGGCAAUCCCAGCAACAAGUACUCCAUCAGAGAGGAGCUUCAGUGUUGCUGGAAGAUUAAUUGAGGAGAGGCGCACCAACCUCAGUCCAGAAUCUGUGGACACUCUCUUGUUCUUGCAUAGCAACAGUGGGACUCCAUCUUAA